CAAUAGCGUAUAUUAAAGUUGUUGCGGUUAAAAAGCUCGUAGUUGGAUCUCGGCAGGCAGGGGGUGGUUCGCGCUUAGCGCUACUGCCCCAUUUGCCUGUGUGAUUGGCGGAGGUUUCGGGGUGCUCUUCGUUGAGUGACCCGGGGCGCCGUCAGGUUUACUUUGAAAAAAUUAGAGUGCUCAAAGCAGGCUUUUCACGCUUGAAUAUUCGUGCAUGGAAUAAUGGAAUAGGAACUCGUUUCUAUUUUGUUGGUUUUCGGAAAUCGAGUUAAUGAUUAAUAGGGACAAUUGGGGGCAUUAGUAUUCAGACGACAGAGGUGAAAUUCUUGGACCGUCUGAAGACUAACUACUGCGAAAGCAUUUGCCAAGAGUGUUUUCAUUAA
rnacentral:rRNA from 1 species